CACCCUGGGCCAACAGGAUGCUGCAGUCGGGACGCAAGCCUUGAGAUCCAGUCCGGGAUUGGUCCCUUACAUGCUCUGCCUUUCAGCUCUUCUUUCAAACGGAGAAGGUGGACUGCCAUCUCAAGGUCAUUAUCAACACAUUUCAAACGCCUCGAAGAUGUUGAUAAAGCCGCUCAACAUCUGUGCCCUCCUCCACAGCCGAGCGAUGCAUCUCAAGACCGAACCUUCCCACCUUAGCAUGGAACAGAAGCCUGACUUCUACCCUCAGCACCCACAGCUCUUUCCACGAAUAGAAAGAACCCAGCCAACCCCACUGGCUCUUUGAAGGUCAUCUCAGAUGGUAUGUCUAUGUGAGAUAAAUGGUUUCCUAAACAGGCUUCUCUGCAUCCUGCCGCUGGUUAUGUUUGCCCACUCAUCACUCCUGGGGCCUUGACACAAGCAACUUCCAGGAAACUCCAGAAGAGGAGAGGCCACAGUGCUGCGAUUAAGGGCACGGAGUACCCCGUGGAUGCCUGAGUUCAAACCCCAGCUCAACCACCGAAGCAGCUGCGUGAGUCACCUCUCUGAGCCCCUGUGUCCCCCGUCUACAAGGAUAAAAGCGCACCGAGCUCCCCGGACUGUCCUAAGAAAGAAACACGUUCACGCAGACAGGCCAUCUAGAAAGUAUCUGGCACGGAGCACACAUCCUACAAACAGCUCCUUUUUCACGAUACGGCUGGGCUAUCCUGUGACGUGCUGCUCUUACCACCCACACUGACAGCUGGCCAGUCCGUCCGUCCGUCUGUCACCUACUGUGUGCUUGCCUGUGCUGAGCACUGAGUAUUCCACGACGGUCCAAUUGUAUCCACACUCCUCAAUUCCUAUGCACAGCCUGACAGAUUCUACCUUUGAAAUAUCUUUCACGGUUGUCCCAUCCCAGUGGGAAGAAGAGGCAGGUGUCCACGUGCAGGUGCUCAGCCCCAUCCCGAGAUGGGCACCUGCCCCUUUUCCCUACCUGGCCUCCCUCCUGCCCCCUCCACCGCCAAUGAAAAUUACUAUCCUGCUAGAAACCUUCGCUGGCCCUCCGCCGCAUGAAAGACCAAAUCUAAAUUCCUCAGGGAGACACUCGGGGCCUUAGUGAAUCAGCCUUGGCUGUCCCUCCAGCUUCAUCUCCUUGCAUUCCACCCCACAACCCCUGUAUUCUGGUCAUGCUGACUUCUGGACCGUCCCCAAGCUCGUCACAACCUUCCCAUCACUCUCUUUACUUGCACAUGGGACCCUUUCCCAUCCUCCGCAGGGCAAGCUCUUACGUAUCCUUCAUGCCCCAGGCCUCUUGGCACCUCCUCUGGGAAGCCAUCCUUAACUGCCUCAGGAAAAACUCACUGGACUGCGAGAUUUCUAGUUGAGUUGCUGCCCUCCACAAGGCCGGAGAUCACACCAAGAAGCCUCACAGGCACUGGUGAAGCGUGGUGAAGGCGCAAGUGACCAGGCGCAAGCAUGGUGAAGGCGCAAGUGACCACGUGUCACUGUCCCACGAUGGCAAACUGAAGUCCGGAGGCAGAUGCCCGAGUCAGGGCCAGAAACUCCCCCCGAAAUACCAAUAUCCGUAUGCAUUGAAGUCCAGUUCCCUUCCAUUCUCUGCCCUAGAAAGCAAGGUCGAGGAAAGGAAGGUGCAGGUGAGCCCGCACUGGGCAAGGCGCUUCGCCUGUAGCUUCUUUUUCACACGGCCACUGCCUUGCCUCCUCUCUCGCCCCGCGUUCUGGAAUGAAUCAUGUCCCAUAAGUGGAUUUUUCAGAUGACUGAAGCCGAAACUUGUAAAAAAUCUUAACCAUUUGGAAUGGAGACGCUUCAGAAACGGACUACCCGCUUUCCCUGAACUCUUCAACUCUCCCUAUGGAAAGGGCCCCCCCGUCCUGCUGACUCACAGCAUCUCGAGCCUGGCCCGAGCCUCAGCCCAAGGACAACCUCAAGGGCCGCUGAGAGCUUCAUUACCGUCCGCCCCCCACGGAGCAGCCUCAGAUGGCUGGUCUGUCAUUCCUGAGCCGGGCUUCAUGGCCUCGUUAGCCUCUUCCUUACAGUCAGGCUCUUCACGUAAUUUUUCUAAUAAUUUGCAGACUCUGUUGCCCACUCAGGACUAAUGGACUGUCUGUGCCAUUUCUUUGGACCGGAAAAAAAUGAUAACCAAUCUUGUGAGAACAUGCAUUUAAAAAAACAACAACAGGGGCACCUGGGUGGCUCAGUCAUUAAGUGUCUGCCUCCGGCUCAGGUCAUGAUCCCAGGGUCCUGGGAUCGAGCCCCGCAUCGGGCUCCCUGCUCCGCGGGAAGCCUGCUUCUCCCUCUCCCACUCCCCCUGCUUGUGUUCCCUCUCUCUGUGUCUCUCUCUGUCAAAUAAAUAAAUAAAAUCUUUAAAAAUAAAAAAUAAAAAAUAAAAAAAUAAAAAAUAAAAAAACAACAACAAAAACUCUGAGUGGAGAAUUAUUUAGCCUUAAAAAGGAAUGACAUUCUGACACAUGCUACAACAUGAUGAACCUCGAAAACACGAUGUUAGUGAGGUAAGCCAGACACAAAAGGACAAAUACUGUGUGAUU